rnacentral:lncRNA from 1 species
AUCAUUACAGAAUAAUUUGUAUAUAAUAAACGUUAUUUGUAUCGGCUUCAAAACUUCCACGGCAAGAAUAAAUUACUUAAGUUCAAACAAUAAAUUUCCGUUUAGAGACAUCAUUUCUUAGCGUCGUACAAUAGUUGCUGAACUUUGAACAGUGAUUAACUACAUUCAUUAUCGAAUGAUUUCUUAACUUAAUUACUGUUGGCCAGUUUUUUUUAUUACCUUAUAUAGUUGCAGUUGUGAUCAAUCGUGGUAGAUCUAAAUGAAACAGCUGAUAGUUUAGAAAUACAUACACCGUGUAUAUAAGUCAGAAAUGUGAUAGCUCUCGGCGUAGUAUUGACUGACAGUAUCAUUUGAACUAUAUAGAAAGGUAAAUUUACCUAAGUAUUUACACUUAUUCAUCGGAAAUUGGAGUAAAGUAACGGCUGCUAGCGAAAUGGUAACCAUCACGCAGUGUACUUUCGCCGCCAUGGUCUUGAUUUUUCUCGUGCUCAUGGCUAACUUUGACUCUUGUGCUUCAAGGAAGGAAUGUAAAUUUAAGCGGAAGAAGACUAAGUGCGUUGAUAUUAUACCCAAAAAGGAUGUAAGAAGAUACAGGUUCUGUCCGAAUUUUGAUGUUUCAACUCUAGGCAAGUGUACUGCGAUCGGUGGCAGCUGCACAAUAUUAUCAACAAGAAAGGGCAAGCGCUGUGUCUGUGAUACAGAAAGGAACGUUCGUGACCAACCACCGAAGUCAGUUCGGAUCGUCUAAAAGCGAGACGAAAAUGACAUUCACUUAACAUAUCGAAGUAAAAACAGACAUAUUUAUUGCGAUAUUACCAUCUUCAAUAAGAAACUCAUGUGAUAUUGUUCAGCAGGAAACUUUUGGAAAAGAGAAAAGACUAAUGAACACUUUGUUGUUUUGUUAAAUUAAAACUGAUCACACUUUUUGUUCUAAUCUGAAGAAAACUCGGUAACGUAUUUGGAAAUGUCUACUAAGCAGCACUAUAAUACAAAAUGAGGGUUACACACUGGACAAAGUGAGGGCUACGCGCUGGACAAAAUGAAGGUUACACACUGGACAAAGUGAGGGUUACACACUGGACAAAGUGAAGGUUACACACUGGACAAAGUGAAGGUUACACAUUGGACAAAAUGAAUGUUAAACACUGGACAAAAAUUUGAAGAGCUAAGCAAGCACUACCUCAUAUGACCAUUAGCCAGCUGAUGGACUUCUGUUUUCUCUGAUUCUCGUGUCGUACGCUGUAUUCAUGCAUCAUGUAAAUAUAUCGCAGUACACUGGCGCCAGACCAGAAAGAAAAUACCUCUGUACAUGUUAUACCCUGCCCCUAGGUAUUCUAUAAGAACCAUGGUCAUGAAGGGAAAAUGUACUAACCUGU